rnacentral:rRNA from 1 species
AUUGAACGCUGGCGGCAGGCCUAACACAUGCAAGUCGAACGAGUGGCGGACGGGUGAGUAAUGUCUGGGAAACUGCCCGAUGGAGGGGGAUAACUACUGGAAACGGUAGCUAAUACCGCAUACCCUCGGAUGUGCCCAGAUGGGAUUAGCUUGUAGGUGGGGUAACGGCUCACCUAGGCCACGAUGCAUGGCCGACCUGAGAGGGUGAUCGGCCAAACGGGGACUGGGACACGGCCCAGACUCCUAGGGGAGGCAGAGUUAGGGAAUCUUGCACAAUGGGCGAAAGCCUGAUGCGGACAGGCCGGGUGUAUGAGGAAGGCCUUGGGGUUGUAAAGUACUUUCAGCGAGGAGGCGUUACUCGCAGAAGAAGCACCGGCUAACUCCGUGCCAGCAGCCGCGGUAAUAC